CUGAGAUACCCUCAUUCGUGCGAUAGUCGUGCGGGGCUAACCAUUCGCACUUCUAGGGGGAAAGCUGGGGAUAUUGACAUGGGGAAAGCCGAUCGGCCUGCUGCUGAGUGAAGAGCGCUUCGGGUUGGGAGCUAUGUUGUUGGGAAAGAAAGGCAAUCGGCUAAUACACGGUUGUUCUGACGGUACCCAAAGAAUAAGCACCGCCAAACUUCGUGCCCGCAGCCGCGACAAUACGAAGGGUGCAAGCGUUACUUCUAAUUACUGGGCGUAAAGCGUGCGUAGGUGGUCCGUUAAGUCUGAUGUGAAAGCCCUGGGCUCAACCUGGGAAUUGCACUGGAUACUGGCGGGCUAGAGUGCGCCAUAGGAUGGUUGAUUUCCGGGGGUCUCCUUGAAAUGCCCACAAUUACGGAGGAACAUCCAAGGACAAGGGGUGCAUCUGGACCGGCACUGACACUGAGGUCUCAAAGCGUGGGGAGACAACAGGAAUGGAUCCCCUGUGUUCCAGUUCCCUAAACGAUGCAAACUGGAUGUUGAAAGAUAUUUGACUCUUCAGGUCGAAACUGACCCUUUAAGUUCCCCCCCUGGGGACCACUGUUCCACCACUUAGACUGGGCCCCCAUUGAUUGCUUUUCGUUUAAGCGUUGGAGACUGUGGUUUCCAUUCGGGGCACUUAAAGAAUUUUUUUUGGACUUGAAAAGUCCAUUACUCCCCAAAAACCGGUUUGGUGCCUUUGGGAGCUCGAACCCAGGGGCUGUAUGGCUGUGUUCCCCCCCCGCCUUUAGAUGUCUGUUUAAGUCCCGCGACCCAAGGGGGCCCUUUUUCCUCGGUGGUGCCCCCUCAUGUUUGGAACUUUAAUGGUACCCCCCGGGGUAAUUCCGUACUAUGGGGGGGGAUUACUCCCCCGAAAAUGGCCCAAAC
rnacentral:rRNA from 1 species